GCCAGUGCAGUGCAGUGGUUUGAGCAUUGGACUAUGACUCUGAAGACCAGGGUCCAAAUCCCUGCUGUGCCA